GUGGGGAAUAUUGGACAAUGGGCGAAAGCCUGAUCCAGCCAUGCCGCGUGUGUGAAGAAGGUCUUCGGAUUGUAAAGCACUUUAAGUUGGGAGGAAGGGCAGUAAGUUAAUACCUUGCUGUUUUGACGUUACCGACAGAAUAAGCACCGGCUAACUUCGUGCCAGCAGCCGCGGUAAUACGAAGGGUGCAAGCGUUAAUCGGAAUUACUGGGCGUAAAGCGCGCGUAGGUGGUUUUGUAAGUUGGAGGUGAAAUCCCGGGGCUCAACCUGGGAACUGCCUCCAAAACUGCAUGACUAGAGUACGGUAGAGGGUAGUGGAAUUUCCUGUGUAGCGGUGAAAUGCGUAGAUAUAGGAAGGAACACCAGUGGCGAAGGCGACUACCUGGACUGAUACUGACACUGAGGUGCGAAAGCGUGGGGAGCAAACAGGAUUAGAAACCCCGGUAGUCC
rnacentral:rRNA from 1 species